rnacentral:lncRNA from 1 species
GGUAGCGACAAGAAGAUUAAAAGAGGGAAGCAGAGGAGUUGGGAGCUGGCGGUCGUUCCCGGGGAAGAACUGCUAAAACAUGAGACCAAGGCACAGACCUUACUGUAUGAGAAGCAAUGCUCCUCAAACCUUCUGCGUGCUGACAUAGACCUUCCCAGAAGCAAAACUGUUGGCGGCGACCUGAGCGCUGGAAGCCGAAGGGGAAGAGGAAGGAGACGCGAAGCCAGGGCGGCCGGCACAAAGGCGGCGGACUCGCGGCGGCAGCGCCUGCCCGGCCGGGAGCACAACCCACGGCCCUACUCCAGCGAAGUCCCGCACCGGCUUCUAGGAAUAAAGUUUACGUUCUCCUGAGGCCGCACCCCCCACCUCCCACCCAGGACGGCACAUCUCCGUGUCCUCCUCCCCCAAACUCCACUCGGGACCCCGAGAACCACCCCAGCCUUCCGGCCACCACAACAAAGAGCCGCACCGACCGGCGAGGAUAAACAGCGGCGGAGGGCGAGAGGGCGGCGGGGCGAGCGCCUCCACGCAGCAACUCCGGAGUCCCCCGCUUGCCCGAGCGCAGUUUCUCCGCUGCUGUUUCCACCGGCUUUGUAACACUGGGAAUUUACAUCCUCACCCGCACCCCUCACGCCCGAGGAUUUUAAACUCACCUUUACUCUCGAACUGAGAGUUGCGGUAGAUGGGAUUUUUGCCUUUUCCCCAGAUGGUUGAAGGUUAAGAUUUUUGGAAACCCCACCACCUCCUUAUUUCUAUUAUUAUUUCUGCAAGAAAAGUAUAAAGAGAGUUGUAGUGGAGGUGAGAUUUGUGAUCGGGAAAGCCUUCGACUCCCUCCUUCUCCGUCUUCCGCCUCUCUCUCUCUGAUUAGUUCCUAUCCAGCAGCAGAUUGAAGCAGGAGAUGAUUCUUCUCAAGGUUUGUUCAGCAGCUUCACUUCUAGGCGAAGGCUUCAUGAACCAAGUGACGUCAACCAACAAGGCUUCUCUCUCUCUCCUCUCUCUAACAAUGAAAGUUGCUGUUAACAAGGGAAAAAAAGAGAGAGAAUUGUUUAUACCAUUUCAGUUCCAAUAAUAAAUGACCUAUCAGCUCCUAAAGGAGCCAAGGGAGGGGGUUGCUUCUUCUUUCCAAGAAUACUGUAGCUUUGAGUUUGCACCGUUCCUUGUCCCAGGAAAAAGUUAAGAAACUUAAAAUGUUUUGUUUUGCUUUUAAAGAAGACAGGACAGAAAACGGGAUUUAAAACUUAGUUUUUAAAAAAACAAAAGCUACAGAGUAGGGAGCAUAGGUCAACCAUCUCCACCUAAAUUUUUUUUGUUCCUAAACUCAGAAUUCUACAACCCAACUAAAUUAAUAUGCCAAGAUUUUGCGGAUGUUAAAACUCAAAAAAAGCAGUAUGCAAGACGGUCCCGGGGUAAAAUUCUACUGCCUUUCCACGGACAAGUUAAACUGGCUGUAAUGUUUAUGCACUAAGUUAAAAUAAAAUUUAAAUAAAAGACGUU